rnacentral:rRNA from 1 species
AGCGUCUGGAAAGGCGUGCGAUACAGGGUGACAGCCCCGUACACAAAAAUGCACAUGCUGUGAGCUCGAUGAGUAGGGCGGGACACGUGGUAUCCUGUCUGAAUAUGGGGGGACCAUCCUCCAAGGCUAAAUACUCCUGACUGACCGAUAGUGAACCAGUACCGUGAGGGAAAGGCGAAAAGAACCCCGGCGAGGGGAGUGAAAAAGAACCUGAAACCGUGUACGUACAAGCAGUGGGAGCACGCUUAGGCGUGUGACUGCGUACCUUUUGUAUAAUGGGUCAGCGACUUAUAUUCUGUAGCAAGGUUAACCGAAUAGGGGAGCCGAAGGGAAACCGAGUCUUAACUGGGCGUUAAGUUGCAGGGUAUAGACCCGAAACCCGGUGAUCUAGCCAUGGGCAGGUUGAAGGUUGGGUAACACUAACUGGAGGACCGAACCGACUAAUGUUGAAAAAUUAGCGGAUGACUUGUGGCUGGGGGUGAAAGGCCAAUCAAACCGGGAGAUAGCUGGUUCUCCCCGAAAGCUAUUUAGGUAGCGCCUCGUGAAUUCAUCUCCGGGGGUAGAGCACUGUUUCGGCAAGGGGGUCAUCCCGACUUACCAACCCGAUGCAAACUGCGAAUACCGGAGAAUGUUAUCACGGGAGACACACGGCGGGUGCUAACGUCCGUCGUGAAGAGGGAAACAACCCAGACCGCCAGCUAAGGUCCCAAAGUCAUGGUUAAGUGGGAAACGAUGUGGGAAGGCCCAGACAGCCAGGAUGUUGGCUUAGAAGCAGCCAUCAUUUAAAGAAAGCGUAAUAGCUCACUGGUCGAGUCGGCCUGCGCGGAAGAUGUAACGGGGCUAAACCAUGCACCGAAGCUGCGGCAGCGACGCUUAUGCGUUGUUGGGUAGGGGAGCGUUCUGUAAGCCUGUGAAGGUGUACUGUGAGGUAUGCUGGAGGUAUCAGAAGUGCGAAUGCUGACAUAAGUAACGAUAAAGCGGGUGAAAAGCCCGCUCGCCGGAAGACCAAGGGUUCCUGUCCAACGUUAAUCGGGGCAGGGUGAGUCGACCCCUAAGGCGAGGCCGAAAGGCGUAGUCGAUGGGAAACAGGUUAAUAUUCCUGUACUUGGUGUUACUGCGAAGGGGGGACGGAGAAGGCUAUGUUGGCCGGGCGACGGUUGUCCCGGUUUAAGCGUGUAGGCUGGUUUUCCAGGCAAAUCCGGAAAAUCAAGGCUGAGGCGUGAUGACGAGGCACUACGGUGCUGAAGCAACAAAUGCCCUGCUUCCAGGAAAAGCCUCUAAGCAUCAGGUAACAUCAAAUCGUACCCCAAACCGACACAGGUGGUCAGGUAGAGAAUACCAAGGCGCUUGAGAGAACUCGGGUGAAGGAACUAGGCAAAAUGGUGCCGUAACUUCGGGAGAAGGCACGCUGAUAUGUAGGUGAAGUCCCUCGCGGAUGGAGCUGAAAUCAGUCGAAGAUACCAGCUGGCUGCAACUGUUUAUUAAAAACACAGCACUGUGCAAACACGAAAGUGGACGUAUACGGUGUGACGCCUGCCCGGUGCCGGAAGGUUAAUUGAUGGGGUUAGCGCAAGCGAAGCUCUU